rnacentral:rRNA from 1 species
CUACGGGCGGCUGCAGUGGGGAAUAUUGGACAAUGGGCGAAAGCCUGAUCCAGCCACGCCGCGUGAGUGAUGAAGGCCUUCGGGUUGUAAAGCUCUGUGGGGAGGGACGAAAAAGUUCCGGACGAAUAGGCCGGGACCUUGACGGUACCUCUUUAGCAAGCGCCGGCUAACUCUGUGCCAGCAGCCGCGGUAAUACAGAGGGCGCAAACGUUGCUCGGAAUUACUGGGCGUAAAGCGUGCGUAGGCGGACGAAUAAGUCGGGUGUGAAAUCCCUGGGCUCAACCCAGGAACUGCAUUCGAAACUGCUCGUCUAGAGUACUGGAGAGGAAAGCGGAAUUCUUGGUGUAGAGGUGAAAUUCGUAGAUAUCAGGAGGAACACCAGUGGCGAAGGCGGCUUUCUGGACAGUUACUGACGCUCAGACACGAAAGCGUGGGGAGCAAACAGGAUUAGAUACCCCGGUAGUC